rnacentral:rRNA from 1 species
UACGUAGGGUGCAAGCGUUAAUCGGAAUUACUGGGCGUAAAGCGUGCGCAGGCGGUGAUGUAAGACAGGUGUGAAAGCCCCGGGCUUAACCUGGGAACGGCAUUUGAAACUGGCAGGCUGGAGUGCGGCAGAGGGGGGUGGAAUUCCACGUGUAGCAGUGAAAUGCGUAGAUAUCAAGAGGAACACCUGCGGCGAAGGCGGGUUGCCGGGCCGACACUGACGCUGAGGCGCGAAAGCCAGGGGAGCGAACGGG